CAACGGCUGGGUGCUGUCUGGAAACGGAGGCUGACCAGAAAGUUAUGCAUCGACAGCGGCUAGUGGAGAACCCUCUCCGCCCAUCAGACAACCCUGACGGGUGCACAUUCAUUAAGUAACCAUGGCUAAUAAUCGUCUUACCUGAGGCAACAUUUCCUUUGCGGCGGAUGGAUCUGUGGGGACCAUACUGAGACUCUGACCCUGCAUUAACAUGGAGGAAUAAAGGACACUGGACACAAGCCUCAUUUCCUAGCUGUGACUGAUACUCAUAUAUUACUAGGAUCCUAGCAGAGCACUAGAUACCUUUUAUGUUAACAUGCCACUCUCAGUAUUAUUUUGAGUCUAUUAAGAUUGAUCUGGUUCCUGCAGAUCCACACAGCACAAAUUUGGAAAUCAUUUAAUAGUGAAUGAGCACACAUGUAUUUGUUAGCCGACUGACCCAGCGACUCACUGCCC
rnacentral:lncRNA from 1 species